rnacentral:misc_RNA from 1 species
GAGACCUUUUGGGAAUGCCAACUAGUGACAAGAAUGAGGCAGAAACCAAGCAAUUAGAAAGUUACAAUAAUAGUUUCUUCAAAAUAGAGUUUCUUGUAAGAUUGCUGUCAAGACAUAGGGAUAUUCCUGAUAUCUCAGAACCCAAAUGAGCUAAGAGAAAUAUAAUUAACAUCUAGAAGUCAAUUAACUAAAGAAGUUAAAGCAGAUAAGAUAUGUCAAUUCAUUUGCUAAAAACUUUCAUGCUAAUUUAGAUGUUAACAAGCAUCUGUUUGAUAUAAUGGAUCACUUCCAGAGCACUGGAGGGAGGAUCAUAGACGCCUAAUAGAAAUUUAGCUUCACAUACCUCUAAAGUAGGAACGCUUGAAGAAAUACUAUCAAAAUAAAUUUAUGGAUGGAAAUGUGACUAUGAAGGGAAGAAUCACAAGUGGCCACAAAGUGAUUGGGUUCGUAACUAAGUAUCCAGAUGGCAAUGCAGUCCAUUGAUGCACGAGGAACCUAUGCCAUUAUGCCACUAUGCCAUAAAAGUUUUGCAAUAUGCUUCCACCUGUUUAGACCAGCAAUACUGGCCUUAAAAAGAAUAGUGAUUCACUAUUGUGCAAAUGCCAAAUGUCUUACCAGUCUAACUCAGGGCCCAAAUAAUCUGAGACAAAGGCAGCCAAAUAAAUAACAUCUAAUCAUAAUUCUCAUUAUUAUUUUCUUUCUUGUUAAAAGAGGACAGAGUAAAUUACCGAUCCAGGAAUGUAGAGCCGACG